UAAAAAGUGAUGAACAGGAAAAGUACAUGAUGAACUGAUCUACAGAGAGCAAUCAGUAGCUGAAAAGAUUGCGGUGCGGCAUGAUGGAAAGACACCUGUGAGCGUUACUUUGAACGUGAACAACUAGUAAAAGUAAACGGCGCCUGCCGUUAUCAGGUAUAGAGUGGUCAAUGAUGACAAUUUGGGUGGUACCGCGGUUCAAUCCGUCCCUUGU
rnacentral:ncRNA from 1 species